rnacentral:rRNA from 1 species
GUGGGGAAUCUUGCGCAAUGGGCGAAAGCCUGACGCAGCCAUGCCGCGUGGAUGAUGAAGGUCUUAGGAUUGUAAAAUCCUUUCACCGGUGAAGAUAAUGACUGUAGCCGGAGAAGAAGCCCCGGCUAACUUCGUGCCAGCAGCCGCGGUAAUACGAAGGGGGCUAGCGUUGCUCGGAUUUACUGGGCGUAAAGGGCGCGUAGGCGGACAGCUUAGUCAGAGGUGAAAGCCCAGGGCUCAACCUUGGAAUUGCCUUUGAUACUGGCUGUCUGGAGUUUGGGAGAGGUGAGUGGAACUCCGAGUGUAGAGGUGAAAUUCGUAGAUAUUCGGAAGAACACCAGUGGCGAAGGCGACUCACUGGCCCAAUACUGACGCUGAGGCGCGAAAGCGUGGGGAGCAAACAGGAUUAGAAACCCCUGUAGUCC